UCACUGAAUUAUUUUAAAGAGCCGCGGUAUUUUGACCGUGCAAAGGCCGCAUAAUCAUUAGUUUCUUAAUUAGAGGCUGGAAUGAAUGGUUUGACGAGAAAUUAACUGUCUCUUAAUAAAUUUUAAAAUUUAACUUUUAAGUUAAAAGGCUUAAAUUUUUCUUUAGGACGAGAAGACCCUAUAGAGCUUUACAUUUUAAUUUAAUAUUUCUUUUAUUAUCUUUUUAUAUUAAAUGUUGAUGUUUUGUUGGGGUGACAUGAAGAAUAAUUAAACUCUUCAUUAUUAUAUCAUUAAUUUAUGUUUAAAUGAUCCAUAAUUUAUGAUCAUAAGAUUAAGUUACCUUAGGGAUAACAGCGUAAUUGUUUUUGAGAGCUCAUAUCGACAAAUCAGAUUGCGACCUCGAUGUUGGAUUAAGAUUAAUUUUGGGUGCAGUAGUCCAAUAAU
rnacentral:rRNA from 1 species